UUUAUUCUUUUUAGAUGAUUACCCCGGGGCUCCUCUGAGAAAAAUAGGAGUAGAUUGCUGGAAUUACGAUGGGUUAAAAUGAAAGAUGGGAUGACCUGGCUGGACAAAGGCACAGGCACUCAGGAAGACGAGAACUCCUGCUCCUUCUCUGAACCGGAUUUUCCUGGCUGUAGAGCCCAGAUCAACCCUUCCAUUCCAUCGAUUUGAACCGCAGCUUUGGGAAUGAUGAUUUCACUGGAAGUGCGGUGGUGGACAAAGGUGGAAGCAAGGUUAGGUAAUUUCACUGUGUCACACUCUGUCACCUAGGCUGGAGUGCAGUGGAACAUUCUCAGCUCACUGCAUCCUUGGCCUCCCAGGGGGCUCAAGCCAUCCUCCCGCCUCAGUCUCCCAAGUAGCUCGGACCACAGCUUUGUAUCCAGUGGAGGAGGCUUGGGCCCAAGCUGGUAAAAUGAGAAGUUAGGGGAGGAUGUCCUCAGAGAGCUGGAAGAUCGCAGUCCUCAUGGUCACAACCGAUAGAUACAGUGUUGAUAGGGACAACAUAUGCCUUGGAAUGUUUCAAAUACUUUGCCACAAUUAAGGGACACUGAACAGGAACUCAGUUUUGGAAAACAAAGUGGAAUUUCUGGAAACUGCUAGCAUAAAAGCUUUGACAGGGUCACAUGCAGAUUAGCAUAAUUUUAUUACAUUUUCUAUUUUAGUCCUGUGAGAUGCUAAUUUGGAUUUCAUUGUGCCCAUUGAGCGGCUUUUGUUCUUUGGCUGUGAAUUUAAUUAUUUAGUUAUUUAUGAGUGCAUCUGGGCAUAAGUGCCACAGUUUUAUUUCGGUGACAAAUUUAUGGUCAGUGAAUUUUAGUAAUUAAUGAAUAAACUAUUUCUCCUCCAUAAAUGCCCCUGCAAUUUCUGAUUUUCAUAACCAUUCAUAAUACUUAAGAAAAGUUCUUUAUUAGUUGAAAAAGCCAAUGCUAAUGGAAUCAGGAAAAGGAGAUUUCAAAUUGCUUUAAUUAACUGUAUUAAUUAGUAUCCAACGUGUAAGAUACUGAAUUGGCUUUGGUUGUCUCUCUUAGCAUUUAGUCGUCUAAAAUCUGUUUAAGAUAUGAAUAUACUGUAUUAAAAUAAAUUCUAAUUCUUUUGUGAAGUAAAUGGCAAGAAUAAAAGGAUCUCCUUUAUAAUCUUUAA